UGGGGGAUAUUGCACAAUGGGGGAAACCCUGAUGCAGCAACGCCGCGUGAAGGAAGAAGGCCUUCGGGUUGUAAACUUUUGUCUUUAGGGAAGAAACAAAUGACGGUACCUAAGGAGGAAGCCACGGCUAACUACGUGCCGGCAGCCGCGGUAAUACGUAGGUGGCAAGCGUUAUCCGGAUUUACUGGGUGUAAAGGGAGCGUAGGCGGGACUUUAAGUCAGAUGUGAAAUGCUGGGGCUCAACCCCAGAGCUGCAUUUGAAACUGGAGUUCUUGAGUGUCGGAGAGGUAAGUGGAAUUCCUAGUGUAGCGGUGAAAUGCGUAGAUAUUAGGAGGAACACCAGUGGCGAAGGCGACUUACUGGACGAUAACUGACGCUGAGGCUCGAAAGUGUGGGGAGCAAACAGG
rnacentral:rRNA from 2 species